UUUCUAUCAUGAAGUCUGAAUUCAUCCCAAGUGUUUUCCGCUUAUCGCAGCACCGCGCUGGUUCCUGGAGCCUGAUCCCAGCACAUAUUUGCCUCCCUCACUGUCACUUAUGAAUUGGCCAUGAUGCGAUAAUUUUAAGAGUAAACAAUGAAUCAAAUAAUCAAUAUCAGCAAAGUUUCCGGUAAGGCAAUGACCCAACGCUCUGCCAGCCCGUGACUGCGUUUAUUUUAGAUUGCGUAAUUCUUAUUGCGUUUGCUUUUGAAAGCCUUUAUUUUAUAGGCUCAGAAUAUAUACUUUAGUUCGGCCAUUGGGAUCUCUCUCUCUCUCUCUCUCUCUCUCUCUCUCUCUCUCUCGUAGUACGUACUAGCCGUACACGCACAUGGCUGUGCCAAUGUUGCCUCGCUCACGAGCCGUGCCCGAGUGUAUAAGAGUUGGUGUCAGCUUGGGAAGCAGACUCAAAUAUUUGCGGUCAAGAACUAUUUGUUUACUUCCAACAGUCCUCCGAAACACGUCACCAGCGGAUCCAACAUACGCAGAUGUUCACAGCUCCUUUAACAACUUUACUUUCUGGGGGAGAGAGGAAAAAGCAGACUUCCUGCCCUUCACACACCGUGCGGGAUGCAAAAAAUCGGGGGACCUCAACACUCCCGGAUAUCUUCCCAGAUGAUAAACACCAUCUAAAUCUGACAGGGUUGUUGGGAGUGUCCCGACCACGGCUUCUGAUGUUCUUGACUCUGUUAGCAGCCUGGCGGGCUGUCUUGGCCACUAGAAUGCUUGAGGUGAUCUCGGUCAGUGCCUCCAUCAGGAUACGGUGCUGAGGUCUCCUGCACUUCUCAGCAUGAUACUUAGGAUUCAGGGAAUGUGCACAUGGACUACAUAAGAUCAGCAGAUCUACACCAGGCAGUUCCUGACAGAUGGACCUACCUUGAAGAGCAUGGGGUGUUGAGGCUAUGGUGGGAGCCUGGAGUGGAGGCAGAUUGUAUAUUGGAUGGUGU